AAGUGGGGAUGACGUCAAGUCCUCAUGGCCCUUAUGGGUAGGGCUUCACACGUCAUACAAUGGUCGGUACAGAGGGUUGCCAAGCCGCGAGGUGGAGCCAAUCCCAGAAAGCCGAUCGUAGUCCGGAUUGUUCUCUGCAACUCGAGAGCAUGAAGUCGGAAUCGCUAGUAAUCGCGGAUCAGCAUGUCGCGGUGAAUACGUUCCCGGGUCUU
rnacentral:rRNA from 1 species